GUUCUUGUAGUUAAGAUUCUUUAACAAUAGUUUUUCGAGCUGUAGACCUUGGAGAGAAACCAAGCAAGAAUAUG
rnacentral:tRNA from 1 species